AUGAGGCUCUCCUUCAGGCAAGACACGGACAUGGCAGGUGCGAUCUUCAUGUGCAACACCAGGGCAAGGGAGCAGUUCUUUGUCUCAGGCGUUUUCAGACUUGCUUUAGAGUAUCAGCCCUUUGUCGACAAUGUCAAACAAGGGAUGCCUCUCUUUCUCUUUGACUACAACGAACGCAAGCUUUACGGGGUGUUUGAGGCCGCCUCUGAUGGUGGACUGGAUAUUACUGACAGAGCUGCUUUUAGAUCUUCUGUCCACUCAUAUCCUGCACAGGUCCGAUUCAAAAUUAUUUGGAAGUGCAGACCACUUGCAGAAGAUGAGUUCUCUCAUGCCAUAAAAGAGAAUUACUAUACGAUGUAUAAAUUCUAUUUUGACCUUUCCUACCAGCAGGUUGUCCAGCUAUAUGAGUUGUUUGAUAAUAAGAGGGUAGAGCAACCUAUUCGCAACUACACCAUAAGUGCUCAUUCGAAAGAAGGCCACUUCUGUAAAGGGAGACCAGACAAAAGGAGUUUGACUCCAAAUAUUUCUCCCAUUUCUACUGAUCAAUCACACACUUUGACUGUAACAGCUGGAACAAACUAUUCUGCUCCUACAAGGAUGCGUGGAACCGCACCACAUAAUUUUGAGGCACGAACAAAUCUGUCAGUGCCAUUGGUAAGUAAACCCGUUGGAGUCCAAAUUGAUCCCAUCCACAGCAGCCAUCAUGUUCAAAAGAUAUUACCUUAUCAUAACAAUUCACGUCGCCAAGAUGUUUCGACAGUAGAUGGCAUUUCAACUCAGGUAUAUGCUCCCUGUUCUCAGACAAAUGGAUAUCACCAAGAUCAAUUUGUUACAAAUCAAUCAUAUCCAAUACCUGAUGACUACAUGCACAGUAGCUUGUCUUCUGGAUGCAUGACUGCCAGUCCAACUGAUAGAAUUAGGUCGUCUGAAAAGCAGUCAUAUGUAGGCAGUACUUCGCGAUCUCUUCAACAUAUUACUCAGGCAUCAACUGGCGGAGACAGAAACUACGUGAAUUCAACUCCAAAUGUCCCUUCGUAUAAUUUUUCUCUGGCAAAUCGACAAGGCAGUGCUAACUUGAAGGACAACUAUGAUAUCGACUGUCACCACUGCAAAGAGAUACACACAUCUGAGCAUCAGCACUUAAGCAAGGAAAGAGCUCAAGUAGCUCCAGUAUUAAUCCAACAAGGUAUUCCUGCAUACCCUGAAGUUCCUGAAGUAUCAACAAUUGGUCAACGGAAAGAUGAUUUUGGUGAUUACAUCCCGAUUGCUGAUUGUGCUCAAGAUUUUGAUAAUGAUUGGUGGAAACAUGGCUCCUAUCAUAGUGUUUCAAGUUCACUGGAUCGUCGAAAUGUUAUUGGAGCCAACAUGUCAGAUCAAUUACAUACAAAUUGUGAAAUAGAAGCUGAAAGUAACACAACAUUAGUUCCUGGUCAGUGCUCACAAAACAGUGUGUUUUCUCGCUUAUCGAUGAAGCAACAACCUCUUCAAGAAGUUGUUGGCUCACAAAACAGUGUGUUUUCUCGCUUAUCGCCGAAGCAACCUCUUCAAGAAAUUACUGGUCCUUCACUCAGUCAAAUGCUUAAUUCACUUUCUACAAGAACAAAACAAUGGAGCAGUGGGAAUAGUGCACAUAUUUCUAAAGAAAGAGAGAUUAGAAGUGAGAACAGGACACUUAUUUCUCAAAAAGGAGAUGAUAGAGCACUUACUUAUGAUGCUGGUAACCAGUUGGUUGGUGAACAGUCCAUUGACAUAACCUGUCCUCUUGCUGAGUUAAACCUGCCAAGCGUAGUAGAAGGAAAAGAAAGCACAGAGCCUCCCUUCUUAAACUUCAAGAGGCGCAGCGAAACAGCGCAGCUGGAUGGCAACUUAGGAAAGGAGACUAGUGGGAAAAUGAAGAGGAGAAAGCUUGUGCGCCCUUCCUUUGGAGAGAAUAACAAGCCUACUAAUUCUGGAGUAGAGAUCCAAGUGAAUGGCGCAGAGGACAGGAAACAUCCACAUUUCGACGCUGAUGGGAACAAGUUCAGUAUUGACCUGAACAAACCUGCAUCCUCAGACAAUCUUCUAGUGGAGGAGGAUGGUAGCACUAUACUUUGUCCUGUUGAUAUCAACAUACAAACCGAGAAGCCCUGUGAAGUAAACACCACACACAAGCCAAAAUUUUCAGAUGCUAUGGAGGUAACUGAGGAACAAGAUCACCCUGUGGAGAAUGCCGCACAAACUGGUGAUGAAGUUUCACUUGAUUUGAGCAUUGCAGAUUUGAAUACGAUGGACAAGUCUAAGCUUCAAGCAAUUCUUGAUUCACCAUGGUUGCAAGCACUUGACAAGCUGAGGAAUGGUAAGUCCAACAACUCUGAGGUGGCUGGAUCAAGCAUUUGUGGUGAUGACAAUACAAUGAAAAUGGAGACGAACCCUGAUGGGAGCACCUAA
rnacentral:rRNA from 1 species